rnacentral:lncRNA from 1 species
AAUCGACUUCAUUAAUUAAAACUAUGGAUGAAUAAUUAAUAAGUACGAAAAAUAUAAUCAAAUCCAAUUCUAUAUUACAUUAAAAUAACAAAUAUAGCAUUGUAAUGGUUAUAAUAUGACCAUACAACUUUAUUUACAAAAGUAAUCCAUUUCUAGUUAUUUUCUAUCUCUUCCUUCCUCUCUCUUCCUAGUUAGAAAUAAUGGAUAGAAGUUAAAAAAAAGGUUGAAAUAGCACAAACUCACCUUAUAUAGCCACCUCCUCCGAAGGAAUCAAGAGUAAAACCUUC